rnacentral:tRNA from 1 species
AUUUAAAUAGUUUAUUAAAAAUAUUAGUUUGUGGUUCUAAUGAUGCAAUAAUUUGCUUUAAAUU